UGGGGAAUAUUGCACAAUGGGCGCAAGCCUGAUGCAGCCAUGCCGCGUGUGUGAAGAAGGCCUUCGGGUUGUAAAGCACUUUCAGCGAGGAGGAAGGGUAGUGUGUUAAUAGCACAUUGCAUUGACGUUACUCGCAGAAGAAGCACCGGCUAACUCCGUGCCAGCAGCCGCGGUAAUACGGAGGGUGCAAGCGUUAAUCGGAAUUACUGGGCGUAAAGCGCACGCAGGCGGUUUGUUAAGUCAGAUGUGAAAUCCCCGCGCUUAACGUGGGAACUGCAUUUGAAACUGGCAAGCUAGAGUCUUGUAGAGGGGGGUAGAAUUCCAGGUGUAUCGGUGAAAUGCGUAGAGAUCUGGAGGAAUACCGGUGGCGAAGGCGGCCCCCUGGACAAAGACUGACGCUCAGGUGCGAAAGCGUGGGGAGCAAACA
rnacentral:rRNA from 1 species